AUUGAACGCUAGCGGCAGGCCUAACACAUGCAAGUCGAACGAGUGGCGGACGGGUGAGUACUGUCUGGGACACUGCCUGCUGGAGGGGGAUAACUAAUGGAAACGGUAGCUAAUCCCGCAUACCAUCGGAUGUGCCCAGAUGGGAUUAGCUUGUAGGUGGGGUAACGGCUCACCUCGGCGACGAUCCCUAGCUGGUUGGAGAGGAUGACCAUCCAUACGGGAACUGAGAAAAGGUCCAGACUCCUACGGGAGGCAGCAGUGGGGAAUAGUGCACAGUGGGCGCAAGCCUGAUGCAGCCAUGCCGCGUGUAUGAAGAAGGCCUUCGGGUGGUAAAGUACUUUCAGCGGGGAGGCGUUACCCGCAGAAGAAGCACCGGCUAACUCCGUGCCAGCAGCCGCGGUAAUUC
rnacentral:rRNA from 1 species